rnacentral:rRNA from 1 species
GAUGAACGCUGGCGGCGUGCCUAAUACAUGCAAGUCGAGCGAACAGACGAGGAGCUUGCUCCUCUGACGUUAGCGGCGGACGGGUGAGUAACACGUGGAUAACCUACCUAUAAGACUGGGAUAACUUCGGGAAACCGGAGCUAAUACCGGAUAAUAUAUUGAACCGCAUGGUUCAAUAGUGAAAGACGGUUUUGCUGUCACUUAUAGAUGGAUCCGCGCCGCAUUAGCUAGUUGGUAAGGUAACGGCUUACCGAGGCGACGAUGCGUAGCCGACCUGAGAGGGUGAUCGGCCACACUGGAACUGAGACACGGUCCAGACUCCUACGGGAGGCAGCAGUAGGGAAUCUUCCGCAAUGGGCGAAAGCCUGACGGAGCAACGCCGCGUGAGUGAUGAAGGUCUUCGGAUCGUAAAACUCUGUUAUUAGGGAAGAACAAAUGUGUAAGUAACUUUGCACGUCUUGACGGUACCUAAUCAGAAAGCCACGGCUAACUACGUG